AGUGAACGCUGGCGGUAGGCCUAACACAUGCAAGUCGAACGGCAGCACAAUAAGAGCUUGCUCUUACGGGUGGCGAGUGGCGGACGGGUGAGGAAUACAUCGGAAUCUACUUUUUCGUGGGGGAUAACGUAGGGAAACUUACGCUAAUACCGCAUACGACCUACGGGUGAAAGCAGUGGAUCUUCGGACCUUGCGCGAUUGAAUGAGCCGAUGCCGCAUUAGCUAGUUGGCGGGGUAAAGGCCCACCAAGGCAACGAUCCGUAGCUGAUCUGAGAGGAUGAUCGGCCACACUGGAACUGAGACACGGUCCAGACUCCUACGGGAGGCAGCAGUAGGGAAUAUUGGGCAAUGGGCGCAAGCCUGACGCAGCCAUGCCGCGUGGGUGAAGAAGGCCUUCGGGUUGUAAAGCUCUGUUGUUGGGAAAGAACAGAAGUAUGAUAAACCCCCGCUGUUCUGACGGUACCCAAAGAGUAAGCCCCGGCUAACUACGUG
rnacentral:rRNA from 1 species